rfam:Salmo salar isolate Sally breed double haploid chromosome ssa02, whole genome shotgun sequence.
AUCCCUGUAGCUCAGUUGGUAGAGCAUGGUGUUUGCAACACCAGGGUUGUGGGUUCGAUUCCCACGGGGGGCU